GUCUCUGGCCAUACCACACUGAAUGCUCCAAUCUUGAUCUCAUCUGAUCUCACAAGCUUCGCAGGAUCAGGCCUGGUUAGUAUUUGGAUGGGGACUGCCCAGAAAUACCAGGUGCUGUAGGCU
ensembl:rRNA 5S_rRNA 5S ribosomal RNA